rnacentral:rRNA from 1 species
UCUGGUGUCCUAGGCGUAGAGGAACCACACCAAUCCAUCCCAAACUUGGUGGUUAAACUCUACUGCGGUGACAAUGCUGUAGGGGAGGUCCUAUAGAAAAAUAGCUCAAUGCCAGGA